GCCGGGCGUGGUGGCUCAUGCCUGUAAUCCCAGCACUUUGGGAGGCUGAGGCGGGAGGAUCACCUGAGGUCAGGAGUUUGAGACUGGCCUGGCCAACAUGGUGAAACCCUGUCUUUA
rnacentral:sRNA from 1 species